rnacentral:rRNA from 1 species
UGAGGAACAUGACUUUCGGCGGGGGAUAGCCGGCCCAACGGCCGGGUAAUACCGCGUACGACCACAUGGGGACAUCCCUGAGUGGUGAAAGCAGCAAUGCGCCGAUGGAGUGCCUCGCGGCCUAUCAGCUAGUUGGUGUGGGUAACGCCCACCAAGGCGACGACGGGUAGCCGGCCUGAGAGGGUGACCGGCCACACGUGGGACUGAGACACGGCCCAGACUCCGUACGGGAGCAGCAGG